AAGCGGUGGAGCAUGUGGUUUAAUUCGAAGCAACGCGAAGAACCUUACCAGGUCUUGACAUCCCUGACAACCCAAGAGAUGGGCGUUCCCCUUCGGGGGACAGGGUGACAGGUGGUGCAUGGUUGUCGUCAGCUCGUGUCGUGAGAUGUUGGGUUAAGUCCCGCAACGAGCGCAACCCUCGCCUCUAGUUGCCAGCAUUCGGUUGGGCACUCUAGAGGGACUGCCGGCGACAAGUCGGAGGAAGGUGGGGAUGACGUCAAAUCAUCAUGCCCCUUAUGACCUGGGCUACACACGUGCUACAAUGGGCGGUACAAAGGGCUGCGAACCCGCGAGGGGGAGCCAAUCCCAUAAAGCCAGUCGUAGUCCGGAUCGCAGUCUGCAACUCGACUGCGUGAAGUCGGAAUCGCUAGUAAUCGUGGAUCAGCAUGUCACGGUGAAUACGUUCCCGGGUCUU
rnacentral:rRNA from 1 species